GACGAACGCUGGCGGCGUGCUUAACACAUGCAAGUCGAACGGAAAGGCCCUGCUUUUGUGGGGUGCUCGAGUGGCGAACGGGUGCGUAACACGUGAGUAACCUGCCCUUGACUUUGGGAUAACUUCAGGAAACUGGGGCUAAUCCCGGAUAGGAGCUGCUGCUGCAUGGUGGGGGUUGGAUCGUUUCGGCUGUUGGGGAUGGACUCGCGGCUUAUCAGCUUGUUGGUGGGGUAGUGGCUUACCAAGGCUUUGACGGGUCGCCGGCAUGUGAGGGUGGCCGGGCACCUGGGGACUAAGAUACGGCCCAGAGUCCAACGGGAGGCAACAGUGGGGAGUCUUGCACAAUGGGAGGGAGUCGGAUGCAGAAGCGUCGCGUGCGGGAUGACGGCCUUCGGGUUGAGAACAGCUUUAGCCUGUGACGAAGCGGGAGUGACGGUAAUGAGUAAAGAAGCACCGGCUAACUACGUG
rnacentral:rRNA from 1 species